GCUUACGGCCACACCGGCCUGAAGUACGCCUGAUCUCGUACCGAUCUCGGAAGCUAAGCAGGGUCGGGCCUGGUUAGUACUUGCUGGUGAGACCGCCUGGGAAUACCAGGUGCUGUAAGCU
ensembl:rRNA 5S_rRNA 5S ribosomal RNA